rnacentral:rRNA from 1 species
GGACAGGGAUGGGGAUGCGUUCCAUUAGGCAGCAGGCGGGUAACGGCCCACCUGGCCUUCGAUGGAUAGGGGUUCUGAGAGGAAGGUCCCCCACACUGGAACUGAGACACGGUCCAGACUCCUACGGGAGGCAGCAGUGAGGAAUAUUGGUCAAUGGGCGGAAGCCUGAACCAGCCAAGUAGCGUGCGGGAUGAAGGCCCUACGGGUUGUAAACCGCUUUUGCGCGGGGAUAAAGAGAGGCACGUGUGCCUCGUUGCAGGUACCGCGCGAAUAAGGACCGGCUAAUUCCGUGCC